rnacentral:rRNA from 2 species
AGCGAACGCUGGCGGCGUGCCUAACACAUGCAAGUCGAACGGUUCUGUUGGGGGCUUGCUCUCGACAGAGUAGUGGCAAACGGGUGAGUAACACGUGGGUAAUCUUCCUUCGAGUGAGGAAUAACUUCGGGAAACCGGAGCUAAUACCGCAUAACAUCUUGGAACGGCAGUUCUAAGAUCAAAGGGGGCGCAAGCUCCCGCUUGAAGUUGAGCUCGCGUCCUAUCAGCUAGUUGGUGAGGUAAUGGCUCACCAAGGCUCCGACGGGUAGCCGGCCUGAGAGGGUGGCCGGCCACACUGGGACUGAGACACGGCCCAGACUCCUACGGGAGGCAGCAGUGGGGAAUAUUGCGCAAUGGACGAAAGUCUGACGCAGCGACGCCGCGUGGGUGAUGAAGGCCUUCGGGUCGUAAAGCCCUGUUGAGGGAGAGAAAGCUACUGUCGGUUAAUACCCGGCAGUGGUGAUAGUAUCCCUAGAGAAAGCACCGGCUAACUACGUG